AUUGAACGCUGGCGGCAGGCCUAACACAUGCAAGUCGAGCGGAUGAAGGGAACUUUCUCCUGUAUUCAGCUGCCGACGGGUGAGUGAUGCCUAGGAAGCUGCCUGGUAUUUGGGAUAACGUUCGGUAACGGGCGCUAAUACUGCAAACGUCCUGUGUGAUAAAGUGGGGGGUUUUCGGAUCUAAGGCUAUCAUGUUAUCCUUGGUCGGAUUAGCCAGUUGGUAGGGUAAAGGCCUACCAAGGCGACGAUCCGUAACUGGUCUGAGAGGAUGAUCAGUCACACUGGAACUGAGACACGGUCCAGACUCCUACGGGAGGCAGCAGUGGGGAAUAUUGGACAAUGGGCGAAAGCCUGAUCCAGCCAUGCCGCGUGUGUGAAGAAGGUCUUCGGAUUGUAAAGCACUUUAAGUUGGGAGGAAGGGAAGUAAGUUAAUACCUUGCUGUUUUGACGUUACCAACAGAAUAAGCACCGGCUAACUUCGUG
rnacentral:rRNA from 1 species